rnacentral:rRNA from 1 species
UACGUAGGGGGCAAGCGUUGUCCGGAAUCAUUGGGCGUAAAGCGCGUGUAGGCGGCUCGGUAAGUCCGCUCUGAAAGCCCGGGGCUCAACCCCGGGAGGCGGGUGGAUACUGCUGAGCUCGAGUCCGGAAGAGGAGUGUGGAAUUCCUGGUGUAGCGGUGAAAUGCGCAGAUAUCAGGAGGAACACCAGUGGCGAAGGCGGCUUCCUGGCCUGUAACUGACGCUGAGACGCGAAAGCGUGGGGAGCGAACCGG